rnacentral:sRNA from 1 species
CAAUACUGCUGUUGCUUUACAUUCCGAUGGUGUGGCUGUAUCCUUGCUAUUGGGUGGAACGCUGCGCGAACCGGCGGGCGGAUCCAAUAGUUCAUUCACUCACGACGGGGCUUUUACAGCCAAUCCAUCUUAGCACUGUAAGUUACUACUACCAGUAUCUCUCUCCAUGAAUCUUCAGUCCUCGUAUCGCCCAGGAUCUGUAAGAAUUCGACAAUGUCUCGAGUUCUCUGUCUGCAUUUUGAUGAUGUUUGCAUGUCGGCUCGGCGCGGAGAAACAGGCAUACCAUAGGCCAAGACCGGCUAUCGGCUAAGGUUACGAUUUGCCGGGAGGAAAACCCGGAAUUCGAGGGAAUCUAGGCGCCUUCAUCAAGCGGC